AUUGAACGCUGGCGGCAUGCCUAACACAUGCAAGUCGAGCGGAUGAAGGGAGCUUGCUCCUGGAUUCAGCGGCGGACGGGUGAGUAAUGCCCAUAAAUCUGCCUCGUAGUGGGGGAUGACGUCCGGAUACGGGCGCUAAUACCGCCUACGUCCUGAGGGAGAAAGUGGGUGAUCUUCGGACCUCACGCUAUCAGCUGAGUGUAGGUCGGAUUAGCUAGUUGGUGGGGUAAAGGCCUACCAAGGCGACGAUCCGUAACUGGUCUGAGAGGAUGAUCAGUCACACUGGAACUGAGACACGGUACAGACUCAUACGGGAGGGAGCAGUGGGGAAUAUUGGACAAGGGGCGAGAGCCUGAUCUAGCCAUGCCGCGUGUGGGAAGAAGGUCUUCGGAUGGGAAAGCACUUUAAGUUGGGAGGAAGGGCAGUAAGUUUAUACCUUGCUGUUUUGACGUUACCAACAGAAUAAGCACCGGCUAACUUCGUG
rnacentral:rRNA from 1 species